ensembl:lncRNA
UUGUAAACAAAACACUAAGCACACAGAAUGUGCGAAUAUGAAAGCUAUGCGAGUGGGUGCGUGCGUGUGUUGCAGUGUGUGUAAUGGCGGCGCAAAGGUACUGACCACGUUUGCAGGUAUUGAAGGCACCAAUGAGUAUCGCGGGUCACCAGACACCAAGAUAGGUGGAUAAGCGGUUUUUGCCUUGUCUUCAGGACUGCUCAUGACAGUUGGUCUGGAAUGCAAUGCUUCAGUCACGCACCAGACAUCAUCGCCAUGGAACAGCGGAUUGACACGCAGCCGUCUUUCCACCGUAAACCAUCUCUCAUACGGGCAACCCUCAUGUGCAAACAAACGAAUGACGCCUCUCUUUCAGCCUCUCCGACUUCUGCAAUUACAAGGAAAACCCCCUUUCGUCACCAUGUGAAUCCCAAAGACGUCAUCCAAAUGACAAAUCGCCAGCCAAUCAACAGCUCCAGGACUCCUUCAGCCAGAAAAGGAAACCCUACUUUCAGUGCAAAUCUGCCUACCAUUAUCAAGUGGGGACCUUUUUCAAGGCCAUGCUCAGCCCUGGUGGAUUCUGGGGCUGAGGGUAAUUUAAUUGAUGCUACCCUGGUGUCUCCUACCACCCCUCUCAAGAAGAAACUCAUUGCCAGGGCUCUCAACGGCACCAUCCUCACCCAAGUUACUCAGGUCAUUUCCCCUGUAAGUUUUAACUGUUUCUGGCAACCAUUGUGAGGAGAUUGUGUUUUACCUCCUCGAGUCUCCCAGCACACCUACUGUGCUGGGGAACCUGUGGCUGGUGAGACACAGUCCUCACAUUGUUUGGGUUGAGAAUUCUGUAUUGGCAUGGAGCUCAUUUUGUCAUAAAUUUUGCCUGGGUGUUGCCUUUUCUGCUGGUUUUUCUUGUUCUAUGUUUCAGGAUGGGCAGACUGCGGUCUUUGCCAUUGACCUUCUCCCAG